AUUGAACGCUGGCGGCAGGCCUAACACAUGCAAGUCGAACGAGUGGCGGACGGGUGAGUAGUGUCUGGGAAAGUGCCUGAGGGAGGGGGAUAACUACGAGAAAGUGUCGCUAAUACCGCAUACCAUCAGAUGUGCCCAGAUGGGAUUAGCUAGUAGGUGGGGAAAAGGCUCACCUAGGCGCAGAUCCCUAGCUGGUCUGAGAGGAGGACCAGCCACACUGGAACUGAGACACGGUCCAGACUCCUACGGGAGGCAGCAGUGGGGAAUAUUGCACAAUGGGCGCAAGCCUGAUGCAGCCAUGCCGCGUGUAUGAAGAAGGCCUUCGGGUUGUAAAGCACUUUCAGCGGGGAGGCGUUACCCGCAGAAGAAGCACCGGCUAACUCCGUGCCAGCAGCCGCGGUAAUUC
rnacentral:rRNA from 1 species